UUAAGCCAGUAAGAAAUGGUGUUGGGCUGCAGAGGAAACAACAUCCUGCUGCCUCUUGCCAGAUGGUUGCUUUGGUGCAGGACUUUGCAAUGCUGUGCUAAGUUGCAGGAGGACUUGGUAAAGCUAGAGGGUUAAGGCAUGGGAGAGGAAAGGUAAUAAGUAAUAUACUAGCUAGGUGCAGAAUAACUUGUGCAACAUAUCUGUCACUUAUUCUUGUGAACUGGAAUUUUUUUAAAAAAAGGUUUCAAUAAAGUUUAUAUCAAUAGUGGCACAUAGGUCCUAUGAUUGUAGGUGCCCAAUAGACACCUUAGAUGUUACCUCUAACUGCACAGACUGCAUUGGCUGUAGUUUGCUUUUUAUAUGGAAACGGCUAAUGCUUGCACUGUGCCAAUGGAAAACAGUCACCAAAAAUGUUAGAAAUCUUGCACGUGGAAAAGCUUUAAAACAUUAAGCUUUGUUGAAAAUAAUGUAAAAAUACUUUACACUUGGGUUGGCUAGUAUAACUUCAUUAUAUAAAGUGGCACUUGUGUGCUGGCAGCUAUCUGAGUGUACUGACAUUUCAGUAAACUUCUACAAUUCACGAAUCUCUCCCUUUAUAUGAUGUGUGAGCAUGUGCAGUUGUCACUUAUGAAAAGUAUUGUGUUCGUAAACACUGAUACACAUUGGCUGCAUAUGUUAUAUUUGUAGUUGCAACAUUUUGGUGCCACAGAUGUUUUCAUGUUUGUAUAUUAUACCUUUUUUGGUGAGCUUUACUAAAAGCUGCCAUUUGCUUUGAUUCCGAGUGAGAAGGUAUGUAUUUUUUCUCCGUUCUGACAAAUACAGAGACUGAUCUUUCAGUCAGUUACCACAAGCCAUUGAAGUGCUGUUCUGUACUCCUCCAUCAAAGCUACAUGGCUUGCAUGUUGUUGAUAGCAUAUAAUGUGCAGAGAUGAGAAAUAAAAUAACUAUUUUUUUCUCCUUCGUGGUGAAAGGAAUAGAUGGCAGACACAUAAAGAGGGGAAAAAGAUCACUGCUCUAAUGCAGAGAGUGGGAAUGAGAAAUCAGGAAAAUGACUUGGCAGAGUCUGCAUAGGGACAACCAAGAAAGGUGUAAGCUGAAUUAGCUAAAGGUGUGAAUUUAAAGUAGAUUAAAUUAGUUAGGCCCCAGUGUAGACGCUCCUAUUCAGAAUGAAAAUGACUUUAAUUCAACGUAGGUAAUUCACUUCAAAGUGAAAUAAACUGAAUUAAGAUCACUUUAAUUCUGAAGCUGACUGUCCAGUGGUUUAAUUUUUUCAGCUUGUUCCCAUGUAAAUAAGCACAAAGUAAAGUGCAAACUGCCAUAGAUGUCUUAUUUUAAAUUCUCCAAAGUAAACUUCUGAUACUCUUGCUCAGCAGAAUAACUGCAUUGAAUUAAUAGAUGAAGACUUAGUGUGUUUUCACAUACUCUUUAUCUUAUUAGAACUGUUGAGAAUGUGUCAAAGUAAGGGGGAAGGGUCCCCUUUUAUUAUCGAAAAUAUCAAUGGAAGUAAAAUCUACAGAAACUGCUGACUUCAUUUAAAAAAAAAGUUAUUGGCCCAAACCAGAAUUGUCUUGAAAUAUUUUCAUGACCACCCAAUUUUCUGCCAAAAAGCAAUUUCAAUGGCUUUUUUUAACCAACAGUCAUGUAAGACCAAUGUAAUAAAACUUGCAAUUUAAGUCCAA